rnacentral:rRNA from 1 species
UACGUAGGGGGCAAGCGUUGUCCGGAUUUAUUGGGCGUAAAGAGCGUGUAGGCGGUCUGGUAGGUCCGUUGUGAAAACUCGAGGCUCAACCUCGAGACGCCGAUGGAAACCAUCAGACUAGAGUCCGGAAGAGGAGAGUGGAAUUCCUGGUGUAGCGGUGAAAUGCGCAGAUAUCAGGAGGAACACCAAUGGCGAAGGCAGCUCGCUGGGACGGUACUGACGCUGAGACGCGAAAGCGUGGGGAGCAAACAGG